UUGUACAAUGACUGAAACCAGCCCACUGAGUGAACAAUGGGCUGUGAGGUCAGUUCCUUGAUCAUUAAUAUGCAAAUUGUCAUGACCAUUAAUCAACAACUAUGCUGUUAUCCUACCCUGGAACACCAGCAAGUCAUUGGUUCAGGUAUGUGCAUGACACCUGGGUGAAAAUCAACACAGAAGAGCAAACUCAUCAGACCAGGAAUCCGCAGUCUAUUCACACCUACAGGUCAGUGGACACUCUUUCAAGGACAGGGAAGAACGCUGGUUUGAGCGCGGAGUCACGGAGGCCAUUUACGUGAAAAGAGAAAGACCAUCUCUGAAUCGAGGAGGGGGCCUAAGGGUACAUCUUUCGCCAUCUUACAAUGCUGUGAUUGCAGCCAUUCCCCAACUCUCUGUGAAUGGUACUCAUGGCCAUUGAUCAGUGGGCUUUGAUCAGUGGGUUUUGCUCAGUGGUUGUUGAUCAAUGGUCAUGAGAAUUUGCAAAAUUAUGAUCAAGGAACCGACCUCCCAGACCAUUGUUCCCUCAGUGGGCUGGUUUCAGUCAUUAUGCAAAUGUACUGUUUAUAAGAUUGGGGAAACCUGCAGUCAGCUGAGACUGAAGAAGUCACUUGGAUGAGUGACGAAACGUUUCUCUCACUUAUACUGGAAUACUGGAAUCUCCCAACAGCCCAAGCCUAUGGCAGCAUAACUAAGGGAGGAUUCAGGGUCACCUGAUCUAGACGUAACUGGCCUGAAAGCCGAAGGCUCUGCCUCCCAGUAUAAAUUGAAAAUAUUAAUUUAUUAAUAUUAAAAAUAUUAAAAUAUUAAAUUAGUUUGUCAACAUCCACAUUUAAAGAUAAGCUACAGUGAAUUGCACAAUUUAAUUCAAACGGUGCAGUGGUUGAUGAGCAUACAUAUGAAAAAUAGUGCAGUUUAACUGUAACAGGCAACAACGUAAAGCUUUGACUGCACUGAGGCUGUGGUGUCUCCUUUGUCCCAAACAGAACAAGAUGUUUCCAAUUUACAUGCCCAUCCAAGUCUGCAAGAAACAGUUGUCUAUUCUUCUAUUAAGUGUGUUGCAGGUCAUCCAGCCAGAGAGUAAGAGCCCCAAAGAGCUUGAGGCAAUGGGCAGCCAAGUGCACCAGAGGCUAGCCAUCAAAAGUCGACAACCAGCACAGGGCACGAAAAGCAGAUCCGAGAUCCUAAUCUUCAUUUGGGAAUUCUAAUAUACCACCUAAAAUGUUAAAAAACUAAUACAUUUGUACCACUAAUAAAGUCCCUAACACUUCAUUUUAAUUACUUAUUUUGUAAAAUCUUCUUGGGGAAAUGAAAGUUUAGAUUCUUCUAGAAAUUGCUUAUUUUCCAUGGCUGCUAUUGUUGCAGGACGAGUGCAUUUUGUAAUUUUAGCAAACAUGAUGAAACCACA
rnacentral:lncRNA from 1 species